GCGGCAGGCCUACCAUGCAACUCGAGCGGUAGAGAGAAGCUUGCUUCUCUUGAGAGCGGCGGACGGGUGAGUAAUGCCUAGGAAUCUGCCUGGUAGUGGGGGAUAACGUCCGGAAACGGACGCUAAUACCGCAUACGUCCUACGGGAGAAAGCAGGGGACCUUCGGGCCUUGCGCUAUCAGAUGAGCCUAGGUCGGAUUAGCUAGUUGGUGGGGUAAUGGCUCACCAAGGCGACGAUCCGUAACUGGUCUGAGAGGAUGAUCAGCCACACUGGAACUGAGACACGGUCCAGACUCCUACGGGAGGCAGCAGUGGGGAAUAUUGGACAAUGGGCGAAAGCCUGAUCCAGCCAUGCCGCGUGUGUGAAGAAGGUCUUCGGAUUGUAAAGCACUUUAAGUUGGGAGGAAGGGCAGUAAAUUAAUACUUUGCUGUUUUGACGUUACCGACAGAAUAAGCACCGGCUAACUCUGUGCCAGCAGCCGCGGUAAUACAGAGGGUGCAAGCGUUAAUCGGAAUUACUGGGCGUAAAGCGCGCGUAGGUGGUUCGUUAAGUUGGAUGUGAAAUCCCCGGGCUCAACCUGGGAACUGCAUUCAAAACUGACGAGCUANAGUAUGGUANAGGGUGGUGGAAUUUCCUGUGUAGCGGUGAAAUGCGUAAAUAUAGGAAGNAANCCANUG
rnacentral:rRNA from 1 species